UUUUGAAUUGUGUAGCUGUGCAUGUUGUGAGUAGGUUUGCAGUUGAGCUUUGUUUGUAUUUGCAGACGCAUGCAGAUCUGGUAUCGUGUUGUGUCAUUCUGUGGAGGGUUGUGACUACAUCUGUUUGACUGUCACUGCAUUGCUGUAUAGAUGUCGAUGUAUGGGAGCGAAGGCCCAUGUACAAAGGAAAAGGCGAUCGGGAGUGGCUGUCAAAGUUAAGUAUCUGCUGGAGGAUUUGAUGGUCAAAAAGUAUGUGUGCUGUUGAGGCUGUAGGGAUGGGAGUCCUCCGAAGCCUGCCUGUUUGUAAUGGGUUCAUGAGGCAGCUCAUUGAAUGGGAGUGGGAGUUUUCUGUGGAGGAAGUUGACUGAUGGAAGAGUGACCUGUCUGUAACUAGAGAUGCUCCAUUCUCCCUUCUUCUCUCAUAAAUGGCACUGGGUUUGCAUCACUGAUCACCACUAUCCUGUUUGUCUGUCCUCUAUUGGGUGUUGGUUUUCUGAGGAGGAUGUGAGCAUCCUAGUUACCGAUGGGCCCCUGUCAGUGUUGGGAAAGGGCCAUGAGUACUGUGUAAAUGUGAGUAUUUUGCAUGUUGAUUUUAAAUGUAUAGAAGUAGUUUGUUGCUGCUUCAUUGUAGGUAGGAAUGUGCUGGGGCUCUUUCACGGUGUCAAAUAGGUUAGUUUAGCAAAGGGAGUGUGGUAUUGUGGUGUUGUGAGCAUUAGCAAUAAUCUGGUGUUUAUUGUUUGUGUGCCACAGGGGUAUUUGAGUCCAGAACUGAGGGAAUGGGCUGUAGCAAGUGUGCCCCGUUUGGUUUACAUGGGUUCUUGUAAAUAUGGUGCCAGUGGGCACAGAGGAGCUGUUUGCAUCCAUGAGAUCCUUAAGAGGCUUCAAGAGGUGCAGUUUGUGAAAGAAGGAUAGAUGUGAAGCCCCAUCUGGUGGAAAAAGAGUUUUGUGUGAAGAUGGGGAUCCAGUUGGGCAAAGAACAAGUGAAGUAGAAGUAUGCCUGUGGGGGACAUGAAGUA